CCUACGGGUGGCAGCAGUCGAGAAUCAUUCACAAUGGGGGAAACCCUGAUGGUGCGACGCCGCGUGGGGGAAUGAAGGUCUUCGGAUUGUAAACCCCUGUCAUGUGGGAGCAAAUUAAAAAGAUAGUACCACAAGAGGAAGAGACGGCUAACUCUGUGCCAGCAGCCGCGGUAAUACAGAGGUCUCAAGCGUUGUUCGGAAUCACUGGGCGUAAAGCGUGCGUAGGCUGUUUCGUAAGUCGGGUGUGAAAGGCGCGGGCUCAACCCGCGGACGGCACAUGAUACUGCGAGACGAGAGUAAGGGAGGGGGAACCGGAAGUCUCGGUGUAGCAGUGAAAUGCGUAGAUAUCGAGAGGAACACUCGUGGCGAAGGCGGGUUCCUGGACAUUAACUGACGCUGAGGCACGAAGGCCAGGGGAGCGAAAGGGAUUAGAUACCCUUGUAGUC
rnacentral:rRNA from 1 species